rnacentral:rRNA from 1 species
UACGUAGGUGGCAAGCGAUACUCGGAAUCACUAGGCGUAAAGCGCAGGUGAGGCGCUUGAUAAGUCUUUUGUGAAAGCUCCUGGCUUAACUGGGAGAGGUCAAAGGAAACUGUCAGGCUAGAGUUUGGUAGGGGAUACUGGAAUUCCUGGUGUAGCGGUGAAAUGCGUAGAUAUCAGGAGGAAUACCUAUGGCGAAAGCAGGUAUCUGGGCCACAACUGACGCUGAGCUGCGAAAGCUAGGGGAGCAAACAGG